UCAGCGACUUAUAUUCUGUAGCAAGGUUAACCGUAUAGGGGAGCCGGAGGGAAACCGAGUCUUAACCGGGCGUUAAGUUGCAGGGUAUAGACCCGAAACCCGGUGAUCUAGCCAUGGGCAGGUUGAAGGUUGGGUAACACUAACUGGAGGACCGAACCGACUAAUGUUGAAAAAUUAGCGGAUGACCUGUGGCUGGGGGUGAAAGGCCAAUCAAACCGGGAGAUAGCUGGUUCUCCCCGAAAGCUAUUUAGGUAGCGCCUCGUGAAUUCAUCUCCGGGGGUAGAGCACUGUUUCGGCUAGGGGGCCAUCCCGGCUUACCAACCCGAUGCAAACUGCGAAUACCGGAGAAUGUUAUCACGGGAGACACACGGCGGGUGCUAACGUCCGUCGUGAAGAGGGAAACAACCCAGACCGCCAGCUAAGGUCCCAAAGUCAUGGUUAAGUGGGAAACGAUGUGGGAAGGCCCAGACAGCCAGGAUGUUGGCUUAGAAGCAGCCAUCAUUUAAAGAAAGCGUAAUAGCUCACUGGUCGAGUCGGCCUGCGCGGAAGAUGUAACGGGGCUAAACCAUGCACCGAAGCUGCGGCAGCGACGCUGAUGCGUUGUUGGGUAGGGGAGCGUUCUGUAAGCCUGCGAAGGUGGCCUGUGAGGGUUGCUGGAGGUAUCAGAAGUGCGAAUGCUGACAUAAGUAACGAUAAAGCGGGUGAAAAGCCCGCUCGCCGGAAGACCAAGGGUUCCUGUCCAACGUUAAUCGGGGCAGGGUGAGUCGACCCCUAAGGCGAGGCCGAAAGGCGUAGUCGAUGGGAAACGGGUUAAUAUUCCCGUACUUGGUGUUACUGCGAAGGGGGGACGGAGAAGGCUAUGUUGGCCGGGCGACGGUU
rnacentral:rRNA from 1 species